UACGUAGGGGGCGAGCGUUGUCCGGAUUUAUUGGGCGUAAAGAGCUCGUAGGCGGUUCGAUAAGUCGGAUGUGAAAUCUCCACGCUCAACGUGGAGGGGCCAUUCGAUACUGUCGUGACUCGAGUCCGGUAGGGGAGUGUGGAAUUCCCGGUGUAGCGGUGAAAUGCGCAGAGAUCGGGAGGAACACCGGUGGCGAAGGCGGGUCUCUGGGCCGAU
rnacentral:rRNA from 1 species